UUAAAUAGAGACAAAUUUGCAAGAGAAAAAUUACAAAAUGGAACCGUAAGCGUACACGUGCAGCCAAUCUGGUAAUUGCAGGUGGCCUACCUACACGGAUUUCGUCCGUAACGUGUCCUUCGGAUGUUCUUUUCAAACUCUCUCCAACAAAUCAUCAAACAAGCAAAAGAUGAAAAUAAGUUACAAAAAAAGAAAAAAGAAAAAAGAGGAAUAUAACCACCUUCAUAUUUCUUGUACAAUUUGUUCUUGAAAAAGAAGGGAAUAUCACCUUUCCUGUUCCUUGCCGCCCCACUUCUCUUUUACUUUCAGACAAUACGCAUUCAUAUCUUUCUUGCAUGUAUGCAUGAAGAAUCACAAGAAUAAAAUAUUCCGAAACUUUUUUUUUAAGCAACAAAAUAAGUGAAAAAAAAACUCUUUAUUUGUGUUUGACUCUCCCUUCGUAUAUUUGGGUUUUCUUGAAUUCACUGCACCGAGUUUAAUGGUGGAGGUGCCAGUGGAUUUUGAGGUGGAAAUAGAGGGGGAAACUGGGGAUGCGAAAGCUAUUGAGGGUGUUCUGGGGAUUUCACAGACAAAUCCCAGUUCCAGCUGCACAGG
rnacentral:lncRNA from 1 species